UACGUAGGGUGCGAGCGUUGUCCGGAAUUACUGGGCGUAAAGAGCUCGUAGGUGGUUUGUCGCGUUGUUCGUGAAAACUCACAACUCAAUUGUGGGCGUGCGGGCGAUACGGGCAGACUGGAGUACUGCAGGGGAGACUGGAAUUCCCGGUGUAGCGGUGAAAUGCGCAGAUAUCGGGAGGAACACCGGUGGCGAAGGCGGUUCUCUGGGCCUUACCUGACACUGAGGAGCGAAAGCGUGGGGAGCGAACAGG
rnacentral:rRNA from 1 species